AUGGAAUCCUCUACUGCAAACCCUACAUGGAGGCCAAUGUACACCCCUGCACCUGAAGGCUUGCUAAGUUUUGGACAAUUCCCUCCAAUGCAUCCUUAUAAUUUUCGACCUCCGUCAAUGCACCACCCGGAACAAGGACACCAAAAUAUGGAGAAUUUGCAUUUUGUCGGGGCUUCGCCACACGAUUCCUUUUCAACACCACCGCCACCACCGCGGUCUACUUCUUCCAAAAGGAAAAAGCGGAAGGUCGCCAAUGUAGAUGAUGAUGAAUUGGGAGAAAGGACCGCAUAUCGUCUGGAUGACAUCAACGUGCUCAAUCAAUCGACAUUGUUCCUUGAGCAACUGAAAGGGCAAGCUCCUCAAGUGAACUAUAAUGUCAACGAGAAGGAAUAUCAACUUGGUUAUUACCUUGUAGAUGGAAUAUACCCCGAGUGGGCAGCAUUCGUGAAGUAA
rnacentral:rRNA from 1 species